GUUAUGGGGUUUGUCUUAGGUCACAAAGCCUGUCAACAGCAAAGCCAGAGUGUGACCUCAGGUCUUUGGGGAUGUGUAGUAUGCCCCCUUCCUGCCUGACUUCCUCUUUUUUCUUCCCUUUCCUUCCUGUCUUCCUUCUGUCCUUUCUUAUUUCCUGUUACCAAGCCAUCGUUGCAAAAUUCAGGGAAGACCAGACCACACUUCGGAUACAGGGGAAUUCUCAGUGUAUUGAGGGCUGAAAAAAAACGACCACCUGGGGGCGUGUAUGAAGGAUGAGGGCAGCUCAUGAAUAUUCAUUACCACCUACACACAAGCACAGCGCCCCAUCUGGCCAACCCUGGAAUCACAGCUGUGUGUUGGUUUCCUUUAAUCAGGGGUUUUGUGACUCUGAGCCUGUGUGGGCUUUGCCUGCUCCCUUUUAACUCGUCGUCUAGACAAGUUCAUCUGACAACGCCUGAGAUCUAUCCUGGCAGGAAUGUGAGGAGAGUUUCCUCUCAUUAUCCAAAUAAAUAGCCAAGGUUCUAGAAAGAGACAUGCCUGAUGCUUCCGUUUUCAUGGCAAAUGAACAAUAAUGUCACUUGCUGGUUAGCAUUGCUCAGAGCUGCCCCUGACGGGGGUUGGAGAGAGGGGCCACUUACCCUGAAGAUGAGAGUGGAAGCUAAUGAAGAGAGUGUCUCCUGAGCCUGCCUAACUCCACGUCUCUCACUGCAGUGCAGUGUCUCCUCAAGACUUACGAUUACUCAAUGGCCCCUGAAAUAAAUAGACACAUAAAUAAAA